GGCGAUGAUAUAUGAUGUGAGGAGCCUGUAAUUCAGUGGUUGUUUUGUUUGUGUCAUAUUAUUUUUCUUUAUUUUUUUAACAUAAAUAAGGCCAUUAGUCUUCUCGUUUGAAUUGAUUUUCAUUGUCAUUUCGGGGCCUUUUAUAGCUGAUAUGCGGUAUUGGCUUUGCUCAUUGUUUAUGACCUGUAGUUGUUAAUUUCUGUGUAGAUUUGGUCUCUUGUGGAAAAUUGUCUCAUUGGCAAUCAUACCACAUCUUUUUUUAUGUGUAUUUGUGGUGGAUCGUCAGUAUCAUUAGUAAAUUUUGUU
rnacentral:lncRNA from 1 species